rnacentral:misc_RNA from 1 species
AUCAUAAAUUUCGAACUUCAAAUAUAAUUUUCAACAGGAAAAACAAGCUAUACCAAAGCACCCAUGUAGCAGAACAACAAAAUGGAAAAGACACGUUAAUAAUUAGAUACCACCAAAGAAAAAGAAACCCAGUUCAUAAUCAACAGUGUCAGUGAGAAGAAGCAAGCUUGAUUGAGUGUUAACCAACAAGAAACAGAGGUUGAGCGAAUUAACCUUCGUAAGAGCACUUCCUGAGCAUCUUUUCAAGAAUUUUCAGCCAGGUGGGAUCGUCAUCGACAAC